rnacentral:rRNA from 1 species
UGAUGAUCAGCCACACUGGAACUGACACUCGGUCCAGACUCCUACGGGAGGCAGCAGUGAGGAAUUUUGCGCAAUGGGGGAAACCCUGACGCAGCAACGCCGCGUGAGUGAUGAAGGCUUUCGGGUUGUAAAGCUCUGUCAAGUGGGAAGAAACCACGAGGUGAUAAUAUCGCUUUGUGCUGACGGUACCACUGAAGGAAGCACCGGCUAACUCCGUGCCAGCAGCCGCGGUAAUACGGGGGGUGCAAGCGUUAUUCGGAAUCAUUGGGCGUAAAGGGCGCGUAGGCGGCUUGUUAAGUCAGAUGUGAAAGCCCGGGGCUCAACCCCGGAAGUGCAUUUGAUACUGGCGGACUUGAGUAUGGGAGAGGGAAGUGGAAUUCCUGGUGUAGAGGUGAAAUUCGUAGAUAUCAGGAGGAACACCGGUGGCGAAGGCGACCUCCUGGACCAAUACUGACGCUGAGGCGCGAAGGCGUGGGUAGCAAACAGGAUUAGAUACCCUGGUAGUCCACGCAGUAAACGGUGAUCACUAGGUGUAGCGGGUAUUGACCCCUGCUGUGCCGCAGUUAACGCAUUAAGUGAUCCGCCUGGGGAGUACGGCCGCAAGGUUAAAACUCAAAGGAAUUGACGGGGGCCCGCACAAGCGGUGGAGCAUGUGGUUUAAUUCGACGCAACGCGAAGAACCUUACCUGGGUUUGACAUCUCGGGGAUUUUUUGGAAACAAGAAAGUGCCCUUCGGGGAGCCCGAAGACAGGUGCUGCAUGGCUGUCGUCAGCUCGUGUCGUGAGAUGUUGGGUUAAGUCCCGCAUCGAGCGCAACCCUUAUCUUUAGUUACCAUCACUUCGGGUGGGGACUCUAAAGAUACUGCCCCGGUCAACGGGGAGGAAGGUGGGGAUGACGUCAAGUCCUCAUGGCCUUUAUGCCCAGGGCUACACACGUGCUACAAUGGGCGAUACAAAGGGUAGCGAGCCUGCGAAGGUGAGCCAAUCCCAAAAAGUCGUUCUUAGUUCGGAUUGGAGUCUGCAACUCGACUCCAUGAAGCUGGAAUCGCUAGUAAUCGCGGAUCAGCACGCCGCGGUGAAUACGUUCCCGGGCCUAGUACACACCGCCCGUCACACCAUGAGAGUUGGUUGUACCAGAAGUUGUUGGGCUAACCCGCAAGGGAGGCAGGCACCUAAGGUAUGGCUGAUGAUUGGGGUGAAGUCGGAACAAGGUA